rnacentral:rRNA from 1 species
AAAGAGUUAAAUAAUUACAAAAUUUAUUGUGAUAAAAUUAUUUUAAAUAAUUAUUUUGAAAUGAAAUGUUAUUCGUUUUUAAAGAUAUCUAGUUUUUUUAGAAAAAAAUUUAAUUUUAAAUUUAUUAAUUAAUAAUUUUAAUUAAAUAAUUUUUUAAUGAUAAUUUUUAUAUUUUAAGGGAUAAGCUUUAAAUUAGAUUUUUAUAAUAAUUAAUUAUUUAUUAAAAAUUUUAUAAUUUAUAUUGUUAAUAAAUUUUAUUUUAUUAAAAAUAAUUUUAAUUAAAUAUAAAAUUUAAUUUUUUAUUUAAUUUUUUAUAGAAAAAAAUAUUAUAAUAAAAAAAAUUUAGUUAUAAUGAUAAAAUUAGUAUAUUAAUUAUUAUUAAUAAUUUUAAAUUAUGAAUAAAUAAUUAAUUAAUUAAAAGGAAUUCGGCAAAUAUUUAUAUUCACCUGUUUAACAAAAACAUGUCUUUUUGAAUUUUAUUUAAAGUCUAAUCUGCCCACUGAUUUAAUUAUUAAAGGGCUGCAGUAAUUUGACUGUACAAAGGUAGCAUAAUCAUUAGUCUUUUAAUUGAUGACUGGUAUGAAAGAUUGAAUGAAAUAUAUACUGUCUCUUAAUUAAUUUAUAGAAUUUAAUUUUUUAUUUAAAAAGUUAAAAUAAAUUAAAAAGACGAGAAGACCCUAUAGAGUUUUAUAUUUAUUUUUAUAUUAAAUUAUUUUUUAUUAAAAGAUUUUUAUAAAUUUAAAUAUUUUAUUGGGGUGAUAAAAAAAUAAAUUUAACUUUUUUUAAUAUAAAACGUAAAUAAAUGAAUAUUUGAUCCAAUAUUAUUGAUUAUAAGAUUAAAUUACCUUAGGGAUAACAGCGUAAUUUUUUUUUUUAGUUCUAAUAAGAAAAAAAGUUUGCGACCUCGAUGUUGGAUUAAGAUAAAAUUUAAAUGCAAAAGUUUAAAAUUUUG